GACGAACGCUGGCGGCGUGCUUAACACAUGCAAGUCGAACGGAAAGGCCCUGCUUUUGUGGGGUGCUCGAGUGGCGAACGGGUGAGUAACACGUGAGUAACCUGCCCUUGACUUUGGGAUAACUUCAGGAAACUGGGGCUAAUACCGGAUAGGAGCUCCUGCUGCAUGGUGGGGGUUGGAAAGUUUCGGCGGUUGGGGAUGGAAUCGCGGCUUAUCAGCUUGGUGGUGGGGUAGUGGCUUACCAAGGCUUUGACGGGUAGCCGGCCUGAGAGGGUGACCGGCCACAUUGGGACUGAGAUACGGCCCAGACUCCUACGGGAGGCAGCAGUGGGGAAUAUUGCACAAUGGGCGGAAGCCUGAUGCAGCAACGCCGCGUGCGGGAUGACGGCCUUCGGGUUGUAAACCGCUUUCGCCCGUGACGAAGCGUGAGUGACGGUAAUGGGUAAAGAAGCACCGGCUAACUACGUG
rnacentral:rRNA from 1 species